rnacentral:rRNA from 1 species
GCGAGAAAACUUUGCAAUGCGCGAAAGCUCGACAAGGUUAAUCUGAGUGGUUCCUGCUAAAGGAACCUUUUGUUAGUCGUAGAACCACUGAUGAAUAAGGGGUGGGCAAGUUCUGGUGUCAGCCGCCGCGGUAAAACCAGCACCUCAAGUGGUCAGGAUGAUUAUUGGGCCUAAAGCAUCCGUAGCCUGUUCUGUAAGUUUUCGGUUAAAUCCAUAAGCUCAACUUAUGGGCUGCCGAAAAUACUGCAGAACUAGGGAGUGGGAGAGGUAGACGGUACUCGGUAGGAAGGGGUAAAAUCCUUUGAUCUAUUGAUGACCACCUGUGGCGAAGGCGGUCUACCAGAACACGUUCGACGGUGAGGGAUGAAAGCUGGGGGAGCAAACCGG